rnacentral:rRNA from 1 species
UGCGGCGAUACGCUCCAUUUAAGGAUUAAGCCAUGCAAGUGUUAGAACGCUCUAGUGCUCGUAUACUUAACGGUGUGCGAGUUUCGCAGGGCUGUCUGCCGACAGCUCAGUAGUCGUGAGUGUUAAUCAUGACUACGAAUACUGGUGGUGAUUCAGUGAUAACUGAAUAACCGUGCCAAUAGCGCAGCUAAUGCAUUCAAAACAGCAAUGAUGCAGUCUGUCUCUCUGUCGCUUUCCUCAUAAGACCUGUCAAAGAGUUUGCAUAUCAAGAUUGGCUCGAUUGUGCCGACCGUAGCCUUGCUAGACCCUCUUCUAUCAACUGAAGCGUUUGGUACAGGCUUACGUUGGUUAUGACGGGUAACGGAGAACUGGGGUUUGAUUCCGGAGAGGGAGCCUGAGAAACAGCUGCUACAACUAAGGAAGGCAGCAGGCGCGAAAAUUACCCACUAUGGACUACAUGAGGUAGUAAAAAUUUGUGCCGGUGCAUGACUCUUUAGAGGCCUUGUUAUCGGACUGGUUUGAGACUAGAGACUUUUAAUAAGUUUCAACCUGGAGGGCAAGUCUGGUGCCAGCAGCCGCGGUAAUUCCAGCUCCAGUAGCGUAUGUUGAUAUUGCUGUGGUUAAAAGGCUUGUAGUCUUUGCCGCCACGUUGUAUCAGCUACACUACAAACUUGUCAUGUUUGCAAGCAGCGAACGACCUGCAUUGCAGAAAAAUGUCAAUUUGCUCUUGAACGAGUGAGUUGCACAUUUCUGUACUGUGCUAUAAGUACAGAGUAUUGAUCAAACAGUGUCAAUUAAUUUGCACGUGCAAUAUCUUAUAUGACGCUUUGCCCGAGUGCCUCGUUCGAGGAGAAAUCGAUGCGCGGUAACGUGUAUUCGACGUAUCCGAGAACACACAAAAGUGUUGACAAGCACAUAAUUUGUGCGGUUUGUACUGGGUAGGGAGAGGUGAAAUUUACAAAUGGGUUUUUGACGUGCAAAUGCGAAGGCGGUCUUCUUAUAGGCCGGUGGACGAUAAAGAACGACAGUUUGAGGAUCGAAGGCGAUUAGAUACCGCCCUAGUUCUUACCGUAAACGAUGCCAGCAUGUGUAUUUGUUUAGGUAUUAUGUCUGAGUCUUAUAAGUCACAGUCGGGAAACCAAAGCCAAUAGGCUCCAGGGGUAGUAUGGUCGCAAGACUUAAACUUAAAGGAAUUGACGGAAGGGCACCACCAGGAGUGGAGCUUGCGGCUUAAUUUGACUCAACACGGGAAAACUUACCAGGUCAAGACAUUAAUGGGAUGAACAGACUGAUAGCUCUUUUUUGAUAUAAUGGGUGGUGGUGCAUGGCCGUUCUUAGUUGGUGGAGUGAUUUGUCUGGUUAAUUCCGUUAACGAACGAGACUCUGCCUUACUAAAUAGACGAGCCGUAUAUAAAGGUUUCGUGUCUUUGCGACUUGUCGCGAAGCACGGAUUUUAUCUGCGAACGGAGUAAAUCUUCUUAGAAGCAUAAGUAGUACUUAACUACGUAAGAAAGAGCAAUAACAGGUCUGUUAUGCCCUUAGAUGUUCUGGGCCGCACGCGUGCUACAAUGAAAGAAGCACUAGGUGUGCCAAUCUUUAGUCGAGAGGUUCGAGUAAUCCUCAAACUUCUUUCGUGCUAGGGAUUGUGGUUUGAAAAGGUUUCACAAACCUGGAAUUCCCAGUAAGCGUAAAUUAACAGUUUUCGCUGAUUAAGUCCCUGCCCUUUGUACACACCGCCCGUCGCUACUACCGAUUGAGUGAAUUAGUGAGGUUUUCGGACUGGGGCCCGGCACCUCGCGUGUUUGGGCUUCCGGAAAGACUAUCGAACUUGUUCACUUAGA